UGACAAGUGAGAGGGAGUAACAUAACCUGUUGCCCUUUGAUUUCCCUCCUACUGCUGCUUCCCUUGGUAAAAACAACAAAAACAAGGGAGUACGAUCUGUGCCAUGCACUUAGGGAGUCUUAAUGGAUUGGAGCAGAUGAUUCAAUGUACUUUCCAUUUUUGAGAUCCAAUAAAAUCUAUGAAACCGUAACUUUGUUUGAAAGAAAAUGUGAUCUCCUCUCCUGGAGUUACAAUAAGGAGAAAGAGACAAAUGAGGAAAAUGAACCAGUAUCAGAAACUGAUUUUUUAAAAAUAAAACUCCAGGGCAGUUCCUGGGUUAGUGGUGAUUCAGGAAACUCUUCUGUUUCAGCCCUCCACAGCGUGAAUUAGAGUUCGAAAUGAUGGUUGUGAAGAUCUGCAAGGUUCAUUCUAUUCAACAAGCACUUAGUGAGCUUCUCCAAGUGCAGAGUUCAAUUAAGGUCACGUACGCUACAGCAGCAGUUCACAAAGGGGAUAGUGCCACUGCCUGGUGGGCAUUUUGGAACUCUGUGGAGGGUUUCUUGGUUGUCCUCAUGAUUGGAGUGGACAGCCAGAUGUGGCAGAUGUUCUGUAGUCUGCAGGACAGUCCCACACAACAAGGAAUUGCCCUGAGUGCCAUAGAACUUUCCAUGUUCCACUGGACGUUCGUGUAGAUGAAAAGCCUGGUCUGAGCUAAAACAUAUUUCAUUUUACAUAUAAACACAAAAUAUCUGUGUUUGAGUAUAUUUUGCUUUUUCUUCAAUACCCACUGAAUUUUCCAACAAAGCAUCUUUUGUAAAAAUUAAGAGAAAUAUGUACUUGCUUUGUUCAGAAUUUCAUUAAAAGUUCUUCACAUCUUAGGGGUGCCUGAGUGGCUCAGUUGGUUGAGUGUCCAACUCUUGAUUUCAGGUCAGGUCAUGAUCUCAGGGUCUUGAUCUCAGGGUUGUGAGAUUGAGCCCCACGCCAGGCUCUGGAAUCAGCAGGGAGUCUGCUCAAGAUUCUCUCUCUACCUCUCCCUCUGCC